UACGGAGGGUGCAAGCGUUAUCCGGAUUCACUGGGUUUAAAGGGUGCGUAGGUGGACAUGUAAGUCAGUGGUGAAAUCCCCGAGCUUAACUUGGGAACUGCCGUUGAUACUAUAUGUCUUGAAUAUCGUGGAGGUAAGCGGAAUAUGUCAUGUAGCGGUGAAAUGCAUAGAUAUGACAUAGAACACCAAUAGCGAAGGCAGCUUGCUACACGAUCAUUGACACUGAGGCACGAAAGCGUGGGGAGCAAACAGG
rnacentral:rRNA from 1 species